rnacentral:rRNA from 1 species
AACGAACGCUGGCGGCAUGCCUAACACAUGCAAGUCGAACGAGACCUUCGGGUCUAGUGGCGCACGGGUGCGUAACGCGUGGGAACCUGCCCUUAGGUUCGGAAUAACUCCCCGAAAGGGGUGCUAAUACCGGAUAAUGUCUUCGGACCAAAGAUUUAUCGCCUUUGGAUGGGCCCGCGUUGGAUUAGCUAGUUGGUAGGGUAAAAGCCUACCAAGGCGACGAUCCAUAGCUGGUCUGAGAGGAUGAUCAGCCACACUGGGACUGAGACACGGCCCAGACUCCUACGGGAGGCAGCAGUGGGGAAUAUUGGACAAUGGGCGAAAGCCUGAUCCAGCAAUGCUGCGUGAGUGAUGAGGGCCUUAGGGUUGUAAAGCUCUUUUACCCGGGAUGAUAAUGACAGUACCGGGAGAAUAAGCUCCGGCUAACUCCGUG